rnacentral:rRNA from 1 species
UACGAAGGGGGCUAGCGUUGCUCGGAAUUACUGGGCGUAAAGCGCACGUAGGCGGCUUUUUAAGUCAGGGGUGAAAUCCCGGAGCUCAACUCCGGAACUGCCUUUGAUACUGGAGAGCUAGAGUCCGGAAGAGGUGAGUGGAACUGCGAGUGUAGAGGUGAAAUUCGUAGAUAUUCGCAAGAACACCAGUGGCGAAGGCGGCUCACUGGCCCGGUACUGACGCUGAGGUGCGAAAGCGUGGGGAGCAAACAGG